UCCGGCGUAGCUCAAUGGUAGAGCGGCUGACUGUUAAUCAGUAGGUUCCAGGUUCGAGUCCUGGCGCCGGAGCCA
rnacentral:tRNA from 1 species